rnacentral:rRNA from 1 species
CACGUAGUUAGCCGGAGCUUAUUCUAUAGGUACUGUCUUUUUUCUUCCCUAUCUAAAGCAGUUUACAAUCCGAAAACCUUCUUCCUGCACGCGGCGUCACUGCAUCAGAGUUCCCUCCAUUGUGCAAUAUUCCCGACUGCUGCCUCCCGUAGGAGUCUGGGCCGUAUCUCAGUCCCAAUGUGGCCGUUCAACCUCUCAGUUCGGCUACUGAUCGUUGACUUGGUAGGCCUUUACCCCACCAACUAUCUAAUCAGACGCAAGCCCAUCUAUUAGCGGAUUUCUCCUUUCCCACUAGUACCAUGUGGUACUUAUGGCAUAUGCGGUAUUAGCAAUGAUUUCUCACUGUUAUUCCCCUCUAAUAGGCAGGUUGCUUACGUGUUACUCACCAGUCCGCCACUAACCGCUUCCAAAUGUAAACAUCUGAAUUAAGUUCGUUCGACUUGCAUGUCUUAUGUGCGCCGCCAGCGUUUAUCCUGAGCCAGGAUCAAACUC